GGGGGUGUAGCUCAGUUGGGAGAGCGCCUGCUUUGCAAGCAGGAGGUCAUCGGUUCGAUCCCAAUCACCUCCA
rnacentral:tRNA from 1 species